CUCCCCUUCCUCCUCACCCAUCCGAGUGUCUCUACGAAUCUGGGAGUAAACCUCUGCGUGUGCGUAUGAGAGCGAGAGUGCACGCGUGACCUUGUGCUGCAGCCGUCAUCGAUCGGGCUGGAGCUGUCAAUCGAUCAGUCUGGGCUGUGAGUGGAGAUAAAGGUGUUUCUAUCUCUGGACACCUGGUUGUCAGGUUGGGGUACAGAAGAGAGGGGGAGCGAAAUAAAAGGUCGGAGGAAAAGAUGUGGACCCUACACCUACGCGGCCCCGCGAAAUGUUUCAUGGCAACAACUAAAUUCUACUUUGACUCUUCUUAUGUGGCGGGAACUGGGCGUUUUCGACAUCUUUAACUGUUCAGUCGUCUCUUGAUGUGAGAACUGAGGCAUGUCCACUGAGGAAGAACCAGGCAGACAACUUUCACUGUAGAUCAACAAAGCUGCCAAAGCCAGUUCUCAGGUGUGGCUACCCUGUGAUUUCCACUCCUCUGUAAGCCGGUGCAUCGAUCCACUCAUCACUUACCUGCAGUAUAUGAGGACCAGCUCUCCC